GGUAAUGUGGGCGAGAGGUUUAAGGCGCUGGUUUAAGGAACCAGUCUUUCCGGGGGCGUGCAUUCGAAUCUCACCGUUGCCA